UACGGAGGGUGCAAGCGUUAAUCGGAAUCACUGGGCGUAAAGAGCGUGUAGGCGGCCAGGUAGGUCGGUUGUGAAAACUGGAGGCUCAACCUUCAGACGUCGACCGAAACCAUCUGGCUAGAGUCCGGAAGAGGAGAGUGGAAUUCCUGGUGUAGCGGUGAAAUGCGCAGAUAUCAGGAGGAACACCCGUGGCGAAAGCGGCUCUCUGGGACGGUACUGACGCUGAGACGCGAAAGCGUGGGGAGCGAACAGG
rnacentral:rRNA from 1 species